UCUCUUUUCCUUGAUAUCAGCUGCCAAGAAUCUUACAGCUGAAUUUCUAGUUGGCGUUUAACACUUACCCUGACUUCAUGGCAUCCGUUUUUAUGACUUUACCUCCCCCUGGUUUCAUGUAAGUAUUGAAUCUCCAUUUUCUCUUCACUCUCACUUUUGCCUUUUUGUUGCUACUGUUGUUAAGCUGUGUUUAAAAAAUUGUUUAAUUUCUCUUUUAGCAGGAGGCUGAAAGUAAAUAAAUAUGCAAACAAACAUCACACUUAAAUGCAUUUAUACAUUCUAAGCUGUUUAUUAGUUACUUAAAAACCGAAUUGAAUACUAAAGUGAUAACGCUUUUAAAUUAUUUUUUAAUUUUUUAUAAAGAUAUAGCUGAUUUACAAUAUGAUAUGUUUCAGGUGUAAAAUAGAUGUUCCAUUUAUAGUUAUUGUAAAACAUUGUCUGUAUUCCAUGUGUUGUAAGAUACAUCCCUGUAGCGUGUUUACGUUACAUAUAGCAGUUUGUAUAAGAAAAU